ACACCGCCCGUCACACCACGA
rnacentral:rRNA from 1 species